rnacentral:tRNA from 1 species
GUUCAAUCAACAGCUCCUAUAGCUCAGAUGGUAGAGCGCCAGUCUAGUAAACUGGAGGUCGGCGGAUCGAUGCCGCCUGGGAGCAA